rnacentral:rRNA from 1 species
AACGAAUGCUGGCGGCAUGCCUAACACAUGCAAGUCGAACGAGACCUUCGGGUCUAGUGGCGCACGGGUGCGUAACGCGUGGGAACCUGCCCUUAGGUUCGGAAUAACUCCCCUAAAGGGGUGCUAAUACCGGAUAAUGUCUUCCGACCAAAGAUUUAUCGCCGUUGGAUGGGCCCGCGUUGGAUUAGCUAGUUGGUAGGGUAAAAGCCUACCAAGGCGACGAUCCAUAGCUGGUCUGAGAGGAUGAUCAGCCACACUGGGACUGAGACACGGCCCCGACUCCUACGGGAGGCAGCAGUGGGGAAUAUUGGACAAUGGGCGAAAGCCUGAUCCAGCAAUGCCGCGUGAGUGAUGAAGGCCUUAGGGUUGUAAAGCUCUUUUACCCGGGAUGAUAAUGACAGUACCGGGAGAAUAAGCUCCGGCUAACUCCGUG